UACAGGGGGUGCAAACGUUGCUCGGAAUCAUUGUGCGUAAAGCGCACGUAGGCGGUUCGUUAUGUCGGAUGUGAAAGCCCUUGGCUUAACCGAGGAAGUGCAUCCGAAACUGGCGAGCUAGAGUACGAAAGAGGAUCGCGGAAUUCCCGGUGUAGAGGUGAAAUUCGUAGAUAUCGGGAGGAACACCGGUGGCGAAGGCGGCGAUCUGGGUCGAUACUGACGCUGAGGUGCGAAAGCGUGGGGAGCAAACAGG
rnacentral:rRNA from 1 species